CUCAGUCCCUUUGUGCCGCGGGCGCAGCUGCACAGCACAGGUUUGCGGGCGCCCAUGGGAACCACUGCUGGGGGCAGCCCCACAGCAGGGGCUCAGCAGGGCAGGGGCUGCAGCGCUGCUGUGGAUGCAUUUUCUUACCCAAAUUCCCCUCGCUGCUGUGGUAAAGCCAUCACUGGUGUCAUUGCGCCCUGGCACUGCUCACCCGCGGGCAGCCGGAUUGCUGCCAGCUCUGGUUCAGGUCGGUGUCAUCCAAGGUCAAGCAUUUGUGCGUUAGGAGAACUAUUGCCAGAGCUCAGAGCUCUAAAAUCCUUUCUAAGUGAAGAGCAGCGUCCUCGAGGGCCGGACUUAAAAAAGAAAGCCUGAACUGCAGUCUCCCAGUAACUCUUGCCAUUGGCUGGGUUUUCACAUAAGUGUUAAUCUUCCUUCUUUAUACUCUUUCUCGGGCUCGGAAAGGCUGUGCUGGGAAGAAUUCUGUGCUUUCCUCCUGGAGAUGCAGCAGGACGGAGGGGCCGUGGUGGUCCUGUAAGUGAGGUCAGACCUCGAUCUAUGAGCUGGGGGGCAUGCAGUGCUCUGGGGGAGCCUUCUCCUUCUGUUCAUAGGAAAUCUUUCUGAAGAGUUGGUUUUCUGUGAUCUAAACAGAGAAAAAGUGGGAUAUCUUUUCUUCAACAAAUGGCAGUGAGCAGGAAUGGCAUACCCAGCUCACAGCUGCCCAGUGCUGCGGUCUCCUGCACGUCCCUCCAAAGCACCCUUCUGCUGUAUGAAGAUGGAUCCUGGGCCACAGCCCUGCGGACAUACAGCUCUCCCAGCAGUUUUAUGACUCCUUUUAACUCAUUUUGGAGUUGAGAACCACGGAAUCAUAGAAUGGUUUGAGUUGGAAGGGACCUUUAAAGGGCAUCUGAUCCAACUCCUGGCAAUUAAACCAUUAUAGGAUGAACUCUCCCUACAAGAGCUUCAAUGAUGGAUGUCCAUGAGGCAUUGCUGCACUUUGCUUCCUAUCACUGCUGAACCACAUCCUGCAGCAAGCACCCGUGGUGCUGCUCUGCUUUAGCAUGUCCAUAUAUUUCACAGAGGCAGGAUGAAAGUCACAGUGAAGGGCCAGUGCACCUUCUACGCCCAAUACAAACCCAGUGAGACAUUCUGUAUUUCUCCCUAGGAACAAUCUGGAUGGUUUUUGGGCAGCUGCCCGUUCUUGCACCCAUCCAGUAAAGCUGGGCAUUGGUCCCCAUCCUAUUGCCUUGGGCUAUUGAGGUAAUGCGCUGCCUCGUGGAGCCACUGGCAUUUACCCAGGAAAAGAUGCAACAACCCAUGGAGCAGCAUUGCAGAUGGAUUCAAGACCCUCCAUUGCUGGAAGUGUGUAGGAACAGCACAGCUAGAAGGAGGAAUGUCACUGCCAGGAUGCACAGCUCUGAAGAAGGGAUGCCCCUGCCCAUCCCAGCACCAGCAGGAAUUUGGCUGGCAUCUGGCACCCUUGGACCUGAGUGCUGCUGGGACAUGCACAACCUGCAUAGUCAUCAGAAAGCAAAGCCUCGCCUUGGAGAGGUGUUAAACCAGGAGAGGUGUAAAACCAGAUCAGCUCUUCCAUGUAGCCCGGAGGAGGGCAGGGACUGGAUGGAGGCUUUGGUGAACUGACAGCAGAAGUGACAGUGGGGACAGUCUUCCAUCUGCACAGGGCAGCCAUUCCCCGUCAGACUCAGGCUGUAGUCUCCAGAUCUCUAUAGACACAUCGGCACCAGACCCUUGGCUGGGAUGGCUCACACGGAGCCCCCCUUUUCCCUUGGCCUGCAUCACCAGAAGAUGAAUGUCCCUGGAGGGAUUUGCUGUGUGCCAUGAAGUCACAGUGACUCCAGGUCUGCUGGAUCAAAGGAAAGGAGUGGGAGAGGUGUGAGCAUCUUUCCAUGACGCGUUUCCACCCACCACAUUUCUCAAAGAGCCAUUUCGCCGUCCCCAUGUCUCAUCCUGACAGCCAGGUUUGUCUCUAAACCCAGUGGGUUUCCUUGAGUUUGAGUCCAUCUACCGAUCCCUUCUGGAUGCCAGAAUUGCCUCUUCCAGCCAAACUUCCCUGUUAAUUGUCCUCGGGAUUGGUUUGGAAAAUUGCAUAAGCCCUGGGUUAGGGCUGGCUGCAUCCCAUCCCAGCGCCUGAGGCUUCGUGGGGCAAGGACUAAAGAGCUGCGAAACGCAGAGAUAUAACAGAUGUUGACAUGUAGUGAAAAUACGAGACGCGGGAGCCUAAGAUAAUAAAUCUGAAAAAUUAACACGUAGGGGAACGAAAAAAGGAGCAAUAUGUUUUGGUAAUCAUUCUGAACUGCUGAACCCUUCUCCUGCAGUUCAAAAAUCUCUGGUAUUAAGCAGAUGUCAUUCAACCAAUGAUUAACACGUUACCGAAUUUCUCCAGUCGUUUAAUAAAAGUUUUACAUAACAUGCAGGUAAUUGCUUCCAAAUGUCAAGGUAACAAUGUGGGCUUCUAUGGAUGGCAUUGUUUCCAGCAUCAGGUGAAACCCCUCUAUCAGGCAAAGCCUCGCGCUGCCCAGCU
ensembl:lncRNA